rnacentral:lncRNA from 1 species
GUCUAAUUAAGAAGGAGAUUUACAUUUUGUUUUGCCCCAGGUAAUAAAUUGUACUUGAUUGGCAGUUUUAUAACCUAUCAUUAGGGUGGUUAUCCAACAAAAGGAAUAAAUCAUGCCUGUCAUUAUAAUCAUAAUUUUUUAUCUUUAAAUUAGCUGAACUAAUUAUUAAUUGAUUUUUUAAUGUUUUUUUAUUUUUUGCAGAGAAAACUUCCAACAUUGUAAAUAACUAUGCUAAAA